rfam:Nelumbo nucifera unplaced genomic scaffold scaffold00048, whole genome shotgun sequence
UAUGCAGCGAUGAAGAGCUUAACAUGUAAGAACCCUUGCAUGCAGGAGGUUUUUAUGAAAUCUACUUGUUACGCUUGGCUUCUGAGCUAU